AUAAGACUCUUGACCUGAACAGAUGUACAUGCCAAUAUUCAGUUAUAGUCAUAGCGCCACCUAUUGGCAACAGGAAGUUAAAUAUUUUACACUGCGACAAACUACUCCUAGAAAUGUUAUGACAUCAAUGUCUUUUUUGUGGUCAGUCUAAUCUAAAGACCUGUGUGAUGUUUAGUUGUGAAGAUCUUGAAUUUUUGUUAAAAGGCGUGUCCAUGGCGCCGUGAUGAAGUUCGAUGUCUCGCCACGGGAAUAAAAGAUGUUAUAACUCAGGUAUAAAAUGUCCGUUCUUGCCCAAACUUCACAUGUGUGAUAAGGGUCCUGGCCUAAACAGAUCUGAAGGCCAAUAUUCCAUAGAGUGUGGCAAAAUGGCUCGAUAGCGCCACCUAUACACUUUCAACGGAGUGCGUAUACACUUUAAACGGAGUGCGCCUCGAGCUAUGUUUCACGUACAUGUACAAAAAUCGGUACACACAUGUAACACACCAAUAUCUACGAAAAAGUCUCUUGGUACGAAAUCCGAAUCCCAACAGGAAGUCAGUUAUUUAGAAUUUUCUCUGCAAAAUUAGUGUUGUUUUGGCCAUUUUCAGGGGUUGGACUUUAACAAACUCCUCCUAGAGAUUUAUUCAGAUCAACACCAAACUUGGUCAGUGUAAUCUAAAGCCUUUUGCGAUCUCAAAUUGCGAAGAUCUUGAGGUUUCGUUAAAGGGCGUGUCCAUGGCGGCCUGACAAAUUUCGAUGUUUCGCCAUGAAAUAGGAUGUUGUUGUAACUCAGGCAUAAAAUGUCCAAUCCUCCCCAAACCUCACAUGUUCGACAAAAGUCCUGCCCUGAACACAUCUGAAGGCCAAUAUUCCACUAUAAUGAUAGCGCCACCUACUGGCAACAGGAAGAUUGGCACAUAUUUGGAAUAAACAUUGAUAUAUUCUACUUAUAUUUAUGAGUUUAAACGCAUAUUUCUCACCGUUCACCUAUUAACUAAAGCCACUCGCUGCUGGUGAGCCCGGGUGCGAGGGCCCGUUCAUCGCUGCUUGCAGCUUUAAUUUAAUUUGUGCUUAUAAUCACCAUGAACAGAAAUGAAAGAGGGGAAAAUACAUAUAUGGGUGGAAAUGUAUAUAUGCACUUUUAUAUUUUAAUGGAAUGUCACAAUGCAAAAAGAAAUCCUUUUACAAACAUUUCAGUCUUACAAAUAACAUUUAUUUCUGUUAUGCAACAUAUGGUCUUGUAUUUCUUAUGACGUUAGGGUGAAAUAUGAAAUAUUUCGAUGAGAUUCACAGCCUCCUUAAAAGCACAGCUACUAAUAACAUUUUGAUGAAUGUUGGGAAUGUUGUGGUUGUGAAAAUGGAAGCUUUGCCUUUGAUUUAGUGAAAUGAGUUGUUUGGUGUCUGCAGGCGGCACACAGAUCGAGUGAGCUUCAGUGCUGUUUGCUUGAGUUAGCGGUCGAGCAGAAUGUCUGGAAUAUUCUCUUUAAUUGGAAAGCAUCGAGUGAAGUUGGUUGAGGGGAAGAAGUUCAUGGCUCCUUACUGAAAGUCAAAAUGUCGUCGCCGCAUUCGCCUUUUAAAUAAAGAAAGCUUGUAUGGAUAACACUGUGUGAAAAACACUGUAACUGCUGCACAGUGAUAUGCAAGAGUCAUAUAGAGCUUGGGAAACUACGUCACUGCGCAUUGCAUUCUGGGUAGUCGCGGCCAUUUUUGGGGACACGCUCAUCAGUAAAAAUGAAAGUGAAAGUGACAUGACAUACAGAUCAAGUGUAAGAUUACAUAUAAAGAAAAACUCAACAAGGAAGCAAAGAUGCGGUAUUUAUAAAAAAAUCAAGACAAUCAAUGAACUCAAUCUGUACGAACACAAAGAGUGGUCGGAUGAUCUUAAAGAGCUGCCGCUCGUAACCUUCCCCAAUGUGUUUUCUUACCUUGUUUGUAGUGUCAGAGCGUGCACCUCUGAUCAGUUUAAAAAUGAUAAAUCUCUCGAGUCUUACCUGCAAUUUACAAAUGGAUGGGUGCAGAACCUUCAAAUUUUCCGCUUCAACGAGCGGAAAACUGUUGUCUGCACAAAGGUCUUGAAUUAAUCAAUUUUAACAAUUGUCUUUCUAUGUACCUUUUUCACUUAUUACAUUAUCUAUGUUCUUGAUACUUGAAGGUUACUGUACUAUACUUGAAGGAUACUUGAAGUUAAAUUACAUCUUCCUUUUUUUUCAAUUUUCACUGCCCUACCUGUGGUCUUGAUACUUGUUUACCUAAUUACCUUUUAUGUGUUACACUGCCCCUUUACUUUUUAAUAUGCGUUAUUGUAAACUGUACAAAUUAACCUCCGUGUGUUAUGAUGCACAAAUAAAGAGAUACAAAAUUGA